CCCCUCCCCAUCUCUGCUGUUCAUUUCCUUCUCUUCUACACCCUCUUGAUAUAUCCCAAUCCACAGCUUUCACAUCCUUUACUCUCUCCGCGUUGAAUCUACUUGACAUCACAGGGUAGCCUAACAGAGAUCCUCAUCGGUCACCUGAAAAUCGAACUUCCGCUAGGGACGAUCCGGACUUCCGACUAUCUCCUAGUAUCUCUGUCGCUGUUUUCAGCUCGCCCUAAACACUUUCUAAUUCCAGCUCUUAUCGAGCAACUUUACUACGGUUCGCACUUCGAAACUUCGCACCUGCGGAAACCUGCUUGUCCCUCUGUACUUUGUUGAUAUCUCCUUGUUCUGUGGGAUCCCUCAAGCAUCGUCCAAGUCAAAACGAGCAAUCCAGCGUACCAAAGACGACUGUCCAUUCACCCAGCCUCUGGCUCCUUUCUAACACACUCUCUAUCUGACGCCCCUAGAGCUUCUGGUUUGUAUCUGAAAAUCAAGGGAUUUAAUGUGAUACUGCGAAUAACUCCCAUUUUUUCCAGCUUCAGCUUCGAAACUCUCUGCAAGCCACUGAGUGUCGUUGGAGAUCAAUCCAAGAAUGGAUCCAGCUAACUCUUCCGGUUAUUACCACCCAAUGGUUGAGCCGGUGCCUCUGGAGGGCUUCUUCAACAAUAUAAUGGA
rnacentral:sRNA from 1 species